UACGUAGGGGCAAGCGUUGUCCGGAUUUAUUGGGCGUAAAGAGCGUGUAGGCGGCUUUACAGGUCCGUUGUGAAAACUCGAGGCUCAACCUCGAGACGCCGGUGGAAACCGUAAGGCUAGAGUCCGGAAGAGGAGAGUGGAAUUCCGGGUGUAGCGGUGGAAUGCGUAGAGAUCCGGAAGAACACCGGUGGCGAAGGCGGUCUGCUGGGCAGUUGCUGACGCUGAUGCGCGACAGCGUGGGAGCAACAGG
rnacentral:rRNA from 1 species